GCAGUCGAACGGCAGCACGGACUUCGGUCUGGUGGCGAGUGGCGAACGGGUGAGUAAUACAUCGGAACGUACCCAGAAGUGGGGGAUAACGCAGCGAAAGUUGCGCUAAUACCGCAUACGUUCUACGGAAGAAAGUGGGGGAUCUUCGGACCUCAUGCUUUUGGAGCGGCCGAUGUCUGAUUAGCUAGUUGGUGGGGUAAAGGCUCACCAAGGCGACGAUCAGUAGCUGGUCUGAGAGGACGACCAGCCACACUGGAACUGAGACACGGUCCAGACUCCUACGGGAGGCAGCAGUGGGGAAUUUUGGACAAUGGGCGCAAGCCUGAUCCAGCAAUGCCGCGUGAGUGAAGAAGGCCUUCGGGUUGUAAAGCUCUUUUGUCAGGGAAGAAACGGUUCCGGCUAAUAUCCGGGGCUAAUGACGGUACCUGAAGAAUAAGCACCGGCUAACUACGUGCCAGCAGCCGCGGUAAUACGUAGGGUGCAAGCGUUAAUCGGAAUUACUGGGCGUAAAGCGUGCGCAGGCGGUUUUGUAAGUCUGUCGUGAAAGCCCCGGGCUCAACCUGGGAAUUGCGAUGGAGACUGCAAGGCUUGAAUCUGGCAGAGGGGGGUAGAAUUCCGCGUGUAGCAGUGAAAUGCGUAGAGAUGUGGAGGAACACCGAUGGCGAAGGCAGCCCCCUGGGUCAAGAUUGACGCUCAUGCACGAAAGCGUGGGGAGCAAACAGGAUUAGAUACCCUGGUAGUCCACGCCCUAAACGAUGUCUACUAGUUGUCGGGUUUUAAUUAACUUGGUAACGCAGCUAACGCGUGAAGUAACCGCCUGGGGAGUACGGUCGCAAGAUUAA
rnacentral:rRNA from 1 species